rnacentral:sRNA from 1 species
CCUUUCAUUUUUCAUCUAUGUCCGAUACCACAAAAUCUGUAGGUAUCUCAACAUUUCCAAUCUUGACAGACAGAUUUUCUAUUAGACCAUGGGGGUGUGCAACAGAACCAUCAGCUAAGAGUAAAACUAGGUUGCAGAACUUGUAUUCCAUGAUCCUUAGCCUUUUAGCUGUAGAGAGAGGCAUAAGGCUAACAGAUGCUCCCAAAUCACACAGGCACCUAUUGAAUGUCAAUGGUCCUAGGGAGCAUGGCAGAGGGAAUGAACCAGGAUCAUCAAGCUUUUCUUGGAUAACUUUCUUCUUGUAAGUUUCUUGGGUGAUGGCAGUACUAAUCAUCUCUUGAUUCUGAUCCUUCUUGAGUUUUUCAAUUUUGAAUUUUUUUUCAGAAUGGUGAGUAUUCAGCAAAGGUGUGUGCUCUAUAGUCCAGAUGAAUUGCUGGAUGGCAGGUGCAACAAUUUGAGUUAAAUCCCC